UUGAAAUACCAGUUAACAUACAAUCACUCAAGUUAAGCAAUGUUGAGCCUGGUCAGUACCUAGGUGGGCGACCACGUAGGAAUAUCAGGUGCUGUAAG